rnacentral:rRNA from 1 species
AUUGAACGCUGGCGGUAUGCCUAACACAUGCAAGUCGAACGAGGUAGCAAUACCUAGUGGCGGACGGGUGAGGAAUACGUAGGGAUCUGCCCUUAAGUGGGGGAUAACCCGGGGAAACCCGGAUUAAUACCGCAUGAUCUCGCAAGAGCAAAGAGGGGGACCGCAAGGCCUCUCGCUUUUGGAGGAACCUACGUCGGAUUAGCUAGUUGGUGAGGUAAUGGCUCACCAAGGCGACGAUCCGUAACUGGUCUGAGAGGAUGAUCAGUCACACCGGAACUGAGACACGGUCCGGACUCCUACGGGAGGCAGCAGUGGGGAAUAUUGGACAAUGGGCAAAAGCCUGAUCCAGCAAUACCGCGUGUGUGAAGAAGGCCUUCGGGUUGUAAAGCACUUUAAGUUGGGAAGAAAAAGCUUCACCUAAUACGUGAAGCCUUGACGGUACCGACAGAAUAAGCACCGGCUAACUCUGUGCCAGCAGCCGCGGUAAUACAGAGGGUGCUAGCGUUAAUCGGAUUUACUGGGCGUAAAGCGUGCGUAGGUGGUUUGAUAAGUCGAUUGUGAAAGCCCCGGGCUUAACCUGGGAAUUGCGGUCGAUACUGUCAGACUCGAAAACGGUAGAGGGAGGUGGAACUCCAGGU